rnacentral:lncRNA from 1 species
UAUUUUUGUCAGCCAUCUUUGUUGAAGAAAGUCUCCAGCCUUGGGUCGUAUAGCGUCAAAUUCGUCAUGGGAACCACUCGAUAUGAUUGGUCAUCGCCCAGCGGUCGCCGUUGUAAAAAGUUAAACUUUUUCACCGCCUCUCUCGCCACCUUCGUACCGCCCAAAGGUCCCCGAUUGAAAUGAAAGGGAAGCGGUGUUCCACCGCGCGGCAACCUGUUCUAGUGUAUCAUGCCCGAGUCUGCCCCAGAUCGUUCCCUUAGAGACGAUGAAAAUAAUUAACAAGAUGUUCUUGAUCUGAUUGAGGAAUUUUGUGUCCAACAGGUGAAUUACAGGAGAAGGUGAUUCACUCAAUCCAACUAGGAGACUGGGUGUGGAUCCAGUCCCUGAGGAGAAAAAACUGGAAGCAGUCCCGUUGGGAAGGCCCAUACCAGGUGCUGUUAACCACUGCCUUUGCCAUUAGAAAAGCUGAGAGAGUCACUUGGGUCCACGUUACCCACUGCAAGAAGGUAUGUACACAUAUGAGCACUGAUGAUCACACACAGAGUUAGGAGAAGAACCGAGAACCAACAAGGUCCGGGGGUUACCUCCUUAACGAAGAUUUCCUAUCCCGACCGUUCAUCACUGUGUGUGCUCCUAGAGGUGUGAGUAUGGGGUGGUACCAAGCAGAGAGACUAAGGGCAGGAGAGGGUUGACGGUUUUUGGGAAGAGUAGAAACUCUGAGCUGCAUCAUAGUCUAAUCUUUCUGAUAUAUUCAGAUCCACCACCUACGGGUACUAAUCAUACGAUACCGUUGUCAUUGAGAAGAAGUAGAAGAUAAACUAUAUAAUACACUGAUGAGUGACUUACAGAAUAAGGAGUCAAAGAAGAACAAGAUGUAGAAUUUUAGAGAUUCAUGAAUGAAACCGGGGAUGCAGUAAAGAGGUUCUCUGACCAAUUAUCCGCCACCUCCCUCAUGACCUGGAAAAAUAGACUGACUCUCGAUAGGUUACGGGCAAAGAGGGCGGUGUAAGUAGAAUGAUUAGGUUCAUUACUGUACGUACAUUUCUGAUAACACAGCUCAUGUUUGGGAAAUGGAAAAGUGUUGCAAGAACUGUAUUAUGGGCUGCUUUCACCUGUAUGAGUGUGUUUGGGUUGUGUGGUUGUUGUUUGGUCCCGUGUGCGAGAGGUUUAAUCACCAGAACUCUAGAGAGAUGGACAACGGAGCAGAUGGUGAGCUACGGACCGAGUCAAAGUUCAGACCAAUGAGACAAGUACCUACUGCCGAGCAAGGUGGAGGAUUCAUUCAAAUAUGAGGAGCACAUGUUAGAUGAGACCAUCUUUUGGGAUGCAUGAAUUAGUUUGAAUUUGUGUGAAAUUUCUGAAUCCAAUAAAAAUAGAUGUGUUAUAAUGUAUGUGAAAUAUCUAGCAAAACGGGUGGAUUGUAAUGGAAAUGAUAUGAUUUUAAGCCCUAUUGAGACUUGACAAGCUAUCUGCUGAGAUGAAGGGUGAAGCAGGGGUAGACGAGGGAAAUUGGAUGAAUUUCUUUUUUGGCAAGUACACAUCUAUGGUGGUUACUGGAAUUCUGACCCUAGUACUUGUGUUCCUAUUAUUGAUAUGUUGUGCUGCCUGUAUAAUCCCUUGCAUAAGAAAGUCUCUUACAGAAGUUGUCAGAGCAAACCGGAAUGAUGCCUUUGAUGGAACUGACCCCGGAGAACACUAAAUCCAGCUCUGGGCCAAAGAUGGAUCUGUCAGAGGAUGAUCCUUGUUUUACUGUUGAGGAAGUGGUUGAAUAAAGCGUAUGCACAAUAAAUUCAUAUGUAUUGAAUGUAGUGGCAGGUGGAUGAGAAGGUUUUAAGUUCUGGGACAAAGUGUCUGUCCCACACAUGUUAGGUGUAGCCACAGUCGCAAAAAGGUUUUCUUUUUAUACGUGUUGAAUAAUAUGUUCUGAAUUUGUCGUGUAUACUAUUUGUCUUUCCUUAUGUGAAGGUUUGAAGUUCCUGGAUGACUGAUAGUCAACCUAGUACAAGUGAGGUGUAGACGGAAGGAUGUAAGGGUUUAUAAGGAAAUAUAUAAUAAUUGAAAUGGAGAUAUACAAAUUGUGUUGAGUGACACCCUAGGGGGUGUCAAAAGGGGGACUCUUAAAUUUCCCUGAAAUUUCUUAUUAGAGUAUGUUCACACCCCAAGGGGUGUGAAAAGGGGGAUUGUUAGGGUUGAACUGGCUAUUUGUAUGCAUAACCUUUAUAAUAUACUGGGGAAGCUAUGCUACAAUAUUAAGUAUAUGAACUGCGGAUAAAUCAACUGCUGAAGACAGGAAGAACGACACCCGGCAACAGGAAGUGCGUCACGACGCUGGGACCAGCCUGCGCGCCGACGAUAGGAGGAGCAAGUUUAAACCACGCUCCUCCUCCCUCUGACAGGCCAGCAUUCAGCGGGAACUAUCUCUGUCAGAGUAUAAAAGACAACAAUAGAAUGUGACGCUCUCUUCUCUGUUUGCCCUGCGAGGUGUCACAGAGAGACCGUAUACGAACGACAUAUUUACCAUACACGUGUUUGCAU